rnacentral:rRNA from 1 species
CCUGCCAUGCGUCAAGAAAAGCCGCUAUUGUUUUACUUAAGCCCGUACCGUAAACCGACACAGGUGGAUGAGGAGAGAAUCCUAAGGCCGACGGGAGAAGCAUUGUUAAGGAACUCGGCAAAAUGACUCCGUAACUUCAGGAGAAGGAGUGCCAGCGAGAGCUGGCCGCAGAGAAUUGGCCCAAGCAACUGUUUAGCAAAAACACAGGUCUAUGCAAAACCGUAAGGUGAAGUAUAUGGGCUGACGCCUGCCCGGUGCUGGAAGGUUAAGAGGAGAGGUUAGCGGUAACGCGAAGCUUUGAAUUUAAGCCCCAGUAAACGGCGGCCGUAACUAUAACGGUCCUAAGGUAGCGAAAUUCCUUGUCGGGUAAGUUCCGACCCGCACGAAAGGCGUAAUGAUUUGGGCACUGUCUCAACAAUGCACCCGGUGAAAUUGAAAUACCAGUGAAGAUGCUGGUUACCUGCGCCAGGACGGAAAGACCCCAUGGAGCUUUACUCCAGCUUGAUACUGGGAUUCGGUAUUGCAUGUACAGGAUAGGUGGGAGGCUAGGAAGUGAUAACGCCAGUUGUCACGGAGCCGCUGUUGGGAUACCACCCUUGCAGUAUUGGAUUUCUAACCAGCGACCAUGAACUGGUCGGGGGACAAUGUCAGGUGGGGAGUUUGACUGGGGCGGUCGCCUCCGAAAGGGUAUCGGAGGCGCUCAAAGGUUCCCUCAGAAUGGACGGAAACCAUUCGAAGAGUGCAAAGGCAGAAGGGAGCUUGACUGCGACACCGACGGGUGGAGCAGGUACGAAAGUAGGACUUAGUGAUCCGGUGGUAUAAAGUGGGAUUGCCAUCGCUCAACGGAUAAAAGCUACCCUGGGAUAACAGGCUUAUCACUCCCAAGAGUUCACAUCGACGGAGUGGUUUGGCACCUCGAUGUCGGCUCAUCGCAUCCUGGGGCUGAAGUAGGUCCCAAGGGUUGGGCUGUUCGCCCAUUAAAGCGGUACGCGAGCUGGGUUCAGAACGUCGUGAGACAGUUCGGUCCCUAUCCGGCGUGGGCGUAGGAUAUUUGAGAGGAGCUGUCCUUAGUACGAGAGGACCGGGAUGGACUGGCCGCUGGUGUAUCUGUUGCAUACCAAAUGCAUGGCAGAGUAGCCAAGCCGGGACGGGAUAAACGCUGAAGGCAUCUAAGCGUGAAGCCCCCCUCAAGAUGAGAUAUCCCUACGUAAGUAGUAAGACCCCUUGAAGACGACGAGGUAGAUAGGUCAGAGGUGGAAGUACAGUAAUGUAUGGAGCUGACUGAUACUAAUCGGUCGAGGGCAUGACCG